AAAGCUCAUCUGUUUCUAUGGUUGAAAAUUAACAAAGGUAGCUGGAUGGACAUAUAACUUAUAAAUAUGAAGUUCAAAAUCUCAAUCUUCAAUGAGAUUCAUUAUCCAACCCUCUGUAUGGAAGCCAAGAGCUUUACCACUCAGCCACAAUCCCCCAUAGAAUAGAUAUGCACACACAAUAUUACUUAUUUCUAGUAAUUU
rnacentral:sRNA from 1 species